UGGAAUGGUGCAAAAAGAGACAGCAAAUGCAUCGCCAGAACAACACCGGCAGUGCCUAUAUCCAGUGAAUUCCACCGCCUUCCCAAAAACACAUUCCUUUUUCUCUGCACCACCACAUCUGAUAACAGGAUUCUCCUAUAACUCCCCACCUCUGGUUCUGGUUCUUUGGCUUCUAUUGACACCCCAUUUGCCCUUACCACCACAUUCCGCUUUUCACUUCUAUUCAAAUUACCAAACAAACUCGCAUUCAGUAGUCUCUGUUUUGUGUUG
rnacentral:lncRNA from 1 species